CAGCGAAAUGCGAUACCUAGUGUGAAUUGCAGAAUUCCGCGAAUCAUCGAGUCUUUGAACGCAAGUUGCGCCCGAGGCUUGUCCCGAGGGCAUGCCUGCCUGAGCGUCACCGCACUCCCACCCGACGAACCCUCGUCGUGCGUGGAAAUGGCCGUCCGGGGUCGGGCGUCGAUGCCCAGCGCCGCGGUCGGCUGAAAUGGAGCGUUCUGGACGUAGCCGGAGAGGGGGAUUGCGAGAAGGUGAUCCGCCCUCUGGGCGGAGUCUAUUUUGACAGCGUCCCUCGAUCCGGGAGGUCCCACGGAACUCGGAGCGGGAGCUCGCCCGGUCGAUCGCGAGCGGUCGGUCGGGCGAGUCACACCACUGCUUGGACCUCAGAUCAGGCAAGAUUACCCGCUGAGUUUAAGCAUAUCACU
rnacentral:rRNA from 1 species